rnacentral:lncRNA from 1 species
GGCGUCCUCCCGUCGAUCCCGCAGCAUCACCAACCUCCCGCGCCCGAUUUCAGCAUCCGUCCACGAUCGGCCGUUCAGCAUCGUGUCCGAGCCGCAUCGAAAUCCCAGCUCCUUCCCGAAUCAACAUCUGUGAUCCACUCCUUCCGUGAUGCAAGCCGCGAUCCAGCAAAGCUCUUCUCCUGUCCGCGUUCAUCAUCCACAUAUCCACCUCCCGGAAUCUUAGCGUCCGCGUCCUUCAAGCGGAGAAAAUCUCCGCUGUCGCCCAAUCUCCGAGAUCACCAUGCCUCCCAGCGAUUUCAACGUGUCUCCAAGGGCCUAUAAGAAGAGGGGAGGAGAAGCAGAGGGGGGUGUGCUCGGUGGAGGCCAAGAAACAGGGGUUCUCGGCUCGGUUGGAGGAAGAAGAAAGUUCUCGGUUGGGGUUCUGGGCGGGUUCAAAAGAGAGGAAGGAGCCAUCGGCAAAAGGGAAGGAGGCGGACGAGCAGUGCUCUAUUUUCAGAGACGAGCAGUGCUCUGUUUUCAAUCUGAAAAUAGAGCAUUACGUUCUUUUGUUUUUUUAUUGUUUUAGUUUUUU